rnacentral:rRNA from 1 species
CUCCUACGGGAGGCAGCAGUGGGGGAUAUUGCGCAAUGGGGGAAACCCUGACGCAGCAACGCCGCGUGAAGGAUGAAGGUCUUCGGAUUGUAAACUUCUUUUAUUAAGGACGAAGAAAGUGACGGUACUUAAUGAAUAAGCUCCGGCUAACUACGUGCCAGCAGCCGCGGUAAUACGUAGGGAGCAAGCGUUGUCCGGAUUUACUGGGUGUAAAGGGAGCGUAGACGGAUGGACAAGUCUGAUGUGAAAGGCUGGGGCUCAACCCCGGGACUGCAUUGGAAACUGCCA